rnacentral:rRNA from 1 species
GACGAACGCUGGCGGCGUGCUUAACACAUGCAAGUCGAACGGAAAGGCCCUGCUUUUGUGGGGUGCUCGAGUGGCGAACGGGUGAGUAACACGUGAGUAACCUGCCCUUGACUUUGGGAUAACUUCAGGAAACUGGGGCUAAUACCGGAUAGGAGCUCCUGCUGCAUGGUGGGGGUUGGAAAGUUUCGGCGGUUGGGGAUGGACUCGCGGCUUAUCAGCUUGUUGGUGGGGUAGUGGCUUACCAAGGCUUUGACGGCUAGCCGGCCUGAGAGGGUGACCGGCCACAAUGGGACUGAGAUACGGACCAGACUCCUACGGGAGGCAGCAGUGGAGAGUAUUGCAGAGUGGGCGGGAGCCUGAGGCAGCGACGCCGCGUGCGGGAUGACGGCCUACGGGUUGUAAACCGCUUUCGCCGGUGACGAGGCGUGAGUGACGGUAAUGAGUAAAGAAGCACCGGCUAACUACGUG